AGUGAACGCUGGCGGUAGGCCUAACACAUGCAAGUCGAACGGCAGCACAGUAAGAGCUUGCUCUUACGGGUGGCGAGUGGCGGACGGGUGAGGAAUACAUCGGAAUCUACUUUUUCGUGGGGGGUAACGUAGGGAAACUUACGCUAAUACCGCAUACGACCUACGGGUGAAAGCAGGGGAUCUUCGGACCUUGCGCGAUUGAAUGAGCCGAUGUCGGAUUAGCUAGUUGGCGGGGUAAAGGCCCACCAAGGCGACGAUCCGUAGCUGGUCUGAGAGGAUGAUCAGCCACACUGGAACUGAGACACGGUCCAGACUCCUACGGGAGGCAGCAGUGGGGAAUAUUGGACAAUGGGCGCAGGCCUGAUCCAGCCAUACCGCGUGGGUGAAGAAGGCCUUCGGGUUGUAAAGCCCUUUUGUUGGGAAAGAAAAGCAGCAGGUUAAUACCCCGCUGUUCUGACGGUACCCAAAGAAUAAGCACCGGCUAACUUCGUG
rnacentral:rRNA from 1 species